CAGCCGCCGCGUUAAUACGUAGGGGGCGAGCGUUGUCCGGAAUUAUUGGGCGUAAAGCGCGCGCAGGCGGUCCUUUAAGUCUGAUGUGAAAGCCCACGGCUCAACCGUGGAGGGUCAUUGGAAACUGGGGGACUUGAGUGCAGGAGAGGAGAGCGGAAUUCCACGUGUAGCGGUGAAAUGCGUAGAGAUGUGGAGGAACACCAGUGGCGAAGGCGGCUCUCUGGCCUGUAACUGACGCUGAGGCGCGAAAGCGUGGGGAGCAAACAGGAUUAGAUACCCUGGUAGUCCACGCCGUAAACGAUGAGUGCUAAGUGUUAGAGGGGUCACACCCUUUAGUGCUGUAGCUAACGCGAUAAGCACUCCGCCUGGGGAGUACGGCCGCAAGGCUGAAACUUAAAGGAAUUGGCGGG
rnacentral:rRNA from 1 species